AUUGAACGCUGGCGGCAGGCCUAACACAUGCAAGUCGAGCGGAUGAAGGGAGCUUGCUCCUGGAUUCAGCGGCGGACGGGUGAGUAAUGCCUAGGAAUCUGCCUGGUAGUGGGGGAUAACGUCCGGAAACGGGCGCUAAUACCGCAUACGUCCUGAGGGAGAAAGUGGGGGAUCUUCGGACCUCACGCUAUCAGAUGAGCCUAGGUCGGAUUAGCUAGUUGGUGGGGUAAAGGCCUACCAAGGCGACGAUCCGUAACUGGUCUGAGAGGAUGAUCAGUCACACUGGGGGUGGGCACCGGUGCAGAUUAUUACGGGAGGCGGCAGUGGGGAAUAUUGGACAGUGGGGGGAAGGCUGAUCCAUCAAUGCCGCGUGAGUGAUGAAGGUCUGGGGGUUGUAAAGCUCUUUCGCACGCGGCGAUGAUGACGUUAGCGUGAGAAGAAGCCCCGGCUAACUUCGUG
rnacentral:rRNA from 1 species